rnacentral:rRNA from 1 species
UACGUAGGCAGCAAGCGUUGUUCGGAGUUACUGGGCGUAAAGGGUGUGUAGGCGGUUGUUUAAGUUUGGUGGUGAAAUCUCCCGGCUCAACCGGGAGGGUGCGCCGAAGUACUGAAUGACUAGAGUGCGGGAGAGGAAAGUGGAAUUCCUGGUGUAGCGGUGAAAUGCGUAGAUAGCGCUGGAACGCCGAAGGUGAAAAC